AAGAAGAGGCCUAGGUCCAUAGUUCUUAAACCAUGGGUCUCAGUUUGGCCUGGUGUGGUCUACAGGCCACAGGAGGGAGCCAGGCAGGCCAGAAUUCCACAAAGCUGAGUACCCCAAACUACAUUGUUAUGUAUCAGCCACCUCAAGCAACUCGGACACAAGCGGUCUAUCCCUCCUCUCCCUGCAGUGUGAGCUGUUAGCUCUCCAACUUAAGAUCAUAGUUGUCUCAGCACUAUGGGUGGACAGAGAAGUCAGCCACCUGUCCACCCUCUUUGGAAGGGCUAGCCGGUCACCUUCUGCAAUCCGCAUUCUGGAACCUCGUGUUCCACAUGAGUCUUCACCAUCUCAUCUCCUAACUUGUCAAUGGCCAGAUGGAAAGAAGUACAUGGACUGUGUAAGCCCAGGAGCUUUCUUCCACUAAGUUGCCCAUCGUGCUGUUCCCCUGUCUCAGAAGUCCAGGAACUGGUGUCAUAGCUUUGUCCCAAUGAGUCUGCUGAAAACCACAUGUGUGGCUGGAAUCCAUGAAGAAUAGGAGGGUAAACCCUUGUCAGCUGCCUCUGUGGGACUGUCACAGAAUGACAGCUCUUAGCUUUGUGUGGGAGCCUUUGCCACAGUGACUCAGUACUGUGGACCCUAUGGCUCAUUUCUGCUUGUUGUGGACACAUCAGGACUACAUAUGAAACUGGAGCAGUGGUGCACUCUCCAUAGUUGGAACAAGAUUUCCCAGGCCUGAUAUGGAAAUUCUUUUACUUUAUUAAAUGCUCACUUGAUUUUUA